rfam:Stegodyphus mimosarum contig63466, whole genome shotgun sequence.
GCCUUCGUAGUGUAGAGGUCAGCACGCUGGGCGCAUAUUCCAGAGGCCCGUGGUUCGAGUCCCGGCGAAGGCG